rnacentral:rRNA from 1 species
GAGUUUGAUCGUGGCUCAGAACGAACGCUGGCGGCAUGCCUAACACAUGCAAGUCGAACGCCCCGCAAGGGGAGUGGCGGACGGGUGAGUAACACGUGGGAACCUGCCCAAUGGUCUGGAAUAACCGCGGGAAACUGCGGCUAAUACCGGAUAAGCCCUCUGGCAACAGGGGGGAAAGAUUUAUCGCCGAUGGAGGGGCCCGCGUCCGAUUAGGUAGUUGGUGGGGUAACGGCCUACCAAGCCUGCGAUCGGUAGCUGGUCUGAGAGGAUGAUCAGCCACACUGGGACUGAGAUACGGCCCAGACUCCUACGGGAGGCAGCAGUGGGGAAUAUUGGACAAUGGGGGCAACCCUGAUCCAGCAAUGCCGCGUGUGUGAAGAAGGCCUGCGGGUUGUAAAGCACUUUUAGUGGGGACGAAAACUUACAGGCUAAUAAUCUGUAAGCUUGACUUAACCCACAGAAAAAGCACCGGCUAACUCUGUGCCAGCAGCCGCCGUAAC